AACAUGCCUUUGGGUGGGGGAUAACUAUUGGAAACGAUAGCUAAUACCGCAUAAUACCUACGGGUCAAAGGGGGCUUCGGCUCCCGCGCAAAGAGAAGCCCAGGUGAGAUUAGCUUGUUGGUGAGGUAAAGGCUCACCAAGGCGACGAUCUCUAGCUGUUCUGAGAGGAAGAUCAGCCACACUGGAACUGAGACACGGUCCAGACUCCUACGGGAGGCAGCAGUGGGGAAUAUUGCACAAUGGAGGAAACUCUGAUGCAGCCAUGCCGCGUGUGUGAAGAAGGCCUUCGGGUUGUAAAGCACUUUCAGUUGUGAGGAAAGGCUAGUAGUUAAUACCUGCUAGCUGUGACGUUAACAACAGAAGAAGCACCGGCUAACUCCGUGCCAGCAGCCGCGGUAAUACGGAGGGUGCAAGCGUUAAUCGGAAUUACUGGGCGUAAAGCGCACGCAGGCGGUCUGUUAAGCUAGAUGUGAAAGCCCCGGGCUCAACCUGGGAAUAGCAUUUAGAACUGGCAGACUAGAGUCUUGGAGAGGGGAGUGGAAUUUCUGGUGUAGCGGUGAAAUGCGUAGAUAUCAGAAGGAACAUCAGUGGCGAAGGCGACUCCCUGGCCAAAGACUGACGCUCAUGUGCGAAAGUGUGGGUAGCGAACAGGAUUAGAUACCCUGGUAGUCCACACCGUAAACGCUG
rnacentral:rRNA from 1 species